UGCUGUCGGUAUUGUUUACAAACAGCUCUGGUGAAAAUCUCUAUUUAACGCUUAAAAUUGUAUGAAGGAAGUGAUAUAAAAGUGUCGAACAAGCGCGGAUAGCGAUGAUUAGAUCAAGCAGGCAAUCAAGUAACUAUUUUGACUCAGCCCAGUGGAUCUGGUAGUCAGCAACAACUGCAAACGACGAGAGUUGUUGCCAGUCGGAAGAACAAGAAAAUCAUCAGAGCCCUGCCGGCGGCUCUCUGCAAUCUGCUACGACGCCUAUUCGAACGAUACCUCAUAUGUUUGGUAUCAUUGAAUUUCUCAUCGGCUGCAUCGGAGCCGCUAGCUACGCGUGGGCAAAAUGACAAAUAGAAGAUAUGGAUAGAUGUAUUAGAGAAAAAAACAAGACUGCUAUCGUUUUUGAUAGAAGAAAAAGGUCGAUUCCUGUCAAACCACCUACUGAAUAUUUUUCACAAAGACAUUGGCAGAGUGAGGUUCAUGCCAAGAGUGGCCUUAGUCAAAAAAGCCAAGAACGCUCGUCAAAUACUGCAACUAUUACGAUACUCUUACUAAACAAAAAAUAACUUCGGUACGUUUUGUGAAUAUAAUAUAUCGUUUUUUUUCUCUCCUAGAUAUCUAUUCAAACGGUUUUAUUAAAAAUGAAAUGAAAAAUAAUGCACCCUUUGCACGAAACUAUAAUUGACAUGACAAAGUUUAUGCGCUUGGAUCCCAGACGAAUAAUUUUGUUUGAGAAAUGUUUUACGUGGAGUACAAUCACCAAUGUUUUUUAAGACUAUGCUAAAAUAUUAGGCUGUGCAGAGUUUAGAUGAGGCAAUCGUCUAUUUGUGAUUCUGAAAAAUGUUUAUUAUAGAUGUCAUGUCUAAUAGAAUACGCUUUAUAUCUCAUUCGAAUGAAUGCAGACAUGAUGUAUCUCCAGCAAAAUUUUAAGUUAUUGAGGUAUUGUAUUUCAAACUUGAUGGAAAUGAUACUAGUGUACUAGUGUGACGUGAGUCGACCGGUAUUAUUCCGACCAACCCCAACUAUUGAAUUUAUAUCGAAUAUAAACGUUUUUGGGCCGUUGGCGGAUAUUACAAUAGCAAAUGCUAGAUGCUAGAUUGUGCAACCUAAUUUCAAGAUAUCAAUCUUGAACAAGUUUACCAAUAUGAACUCUGGACUAUCUCACGAUAAUCUACCCGUAGUUAUUAAUGCAGGAACCACUAUAAGCACGGUAAAUAAAAUAAUGUAAAUAUGUAAAAUAAUG